GUUAUGGCUAUACUUAUCCCCAUCCUUACUUUCCUUCUCCAUCGGAAAAUUGUUUAUGGAGAUUCUCAUGUCUGAAGUCCUGGCCGAUACAGCUCUAAUUGUCAAUGUCCUAUGUAUAAUCCUGAUUGUAAAAUGGAAAAAUCUGAAAUAGAAUGUGACGGAAAUCAAACUCUGCCUUGCUAUGAGUGUAAACUUCUGCAACUAAAAGCACAAUUCUCAAUUCCAUUUAACUUUUUUCAUUUCUUUCAGGAAUCGAAACCAAACUUGCAUGCAUAUAAUAUUCUACUCCUAGCUAGCUAACCAUUUCAUUAUUCUGUAUUUGAAUUAAUUAAGUUCCGUUUGCUUUGAUGUAAUGCUUGGCUUAACCAGAUUUUUCUUUUUCUUGACUGUGGAUGCCAUUAGAACUUUCAUAAACAGGUUUCCUUCAGCAUCUCACUUCGAUGCUUUACACUGUCAAAACAGCAGCAAUCUGGAGCCUGGUGCUGAAAUAAGAUGUGAUUGUAUUUUCAAGGAUAACAAGAGCAACAUCACUUGCCACAUAACUGAAAUCGAUCUGAGCUUCAACUUCUUCAAUCAGCAAAUACCUGCAGCAUUUGGUAACCUCUCAUUGCUACAGUACCUGAUUCUUGACGAUAACAUGUUAUCAGGCCCAAUUCCUGACGAACUGGGAAACCUCACUCAACUUUGGUCUUUCUAUGAAGCUUUUUUUUUUUUUAAUUUUUUAAUUUGUUAUUUCUAACUCCAUGCAAUAUAUCCUAAGCUUAUUGAAAAAAAAAAAAAAAAAAAAAAA